GAUGAACGCUGGCGGUAUGCCUAACACAUGCAAGUCGUACGAGAGUUUUUAACUCUAGUGGCGGACGGGUGAGUAACACGUGAGAAUUUGCCUUUUAGGAGGGGGAUAACAAUUGGAAACGAAUGCUAAUACCCCAUAUGCUUUUGAGUGAAAUGGAUUUUAUCCGCCUAAAGAGAAGCUCGCGGCUGAUUAGCUUGUUGGUAAGGUAAGAGCUUACCAAGGCGACGAUCAGUAUCUGGUUUGAGAGGACGAUCAGACACACUGGAACUGAGACACGGUCCAGACUCCUACGGGAGGCAGCAGUGGGGAAUUUUCCGCAAUGGGCGAAAGCCUGACGGAGCAAUACCGCGUGAGGGAAGAAUGCCUAUGGGUUGUAAACCUUCUUUUUCAGGGAGGAAUAAAAUGACGUGUACCUGAAGAAUAAGCAUCGGCUAACUCCGUG
rnacentral:rRNA from 1 species